rnacentral:lncRNA from 1 species
AAUGAUGUAGCUAUCAUGAAAGUAUCUUAAACAAUUGCAAAACAAUUGCAAAGUUUGAACAAUUACAUAAAUUGAAUUUUCCAAAUAACAAAACAAAUUAACAAACAACUAUAACAAGAACAAAUUCACAAUAAGUUAUAUACCUGAACUCAUGAGGAAGAGGUUGAUGAAGUUAGUGUCUUGGACAGCAAAAGUUGGCCCAGAAGAACAAAAUCAUUUUAGAGAAAAGAUGAUGUGCACUGGUGGGCUCAUCGACGAUGAAAAGAAUUUGAUCGCUGGAGAAAAAAAAAGUUAGUAUCAUGAUGAUAAUAUGAUUCAAGUUGGCUGACGAAAGACCAGGUUGAGUAGAAGGGAAAGGUACUGAUAAUAUAA